rnacentral:rRNA from 1 species
CAGCCGCCGCGGGAAUACGUAGGGGGCAAGCGUUAUCCGGAAUAACUGGGCGUAAAGGGUGCGCAGGUGGUUUAACAAGUUAGUGGUGAAAGGCAUAGGCUCAACCAAUGUAAGCCAUUAAAACUGUUUAACUUGAGUGCAGGAGAGGAAAGUGGAAUUCCUAGUGUAGCGGUGAAAUGCGUAGAUAUUAGGAGGAAUACCAGUGGCGAAGGCGACUUUCUGGACUGCAACUGACACUGAGGCGCGAAAGCGUGGGGAGCAAACAGGAUUAGAUACCCCUGUAGUCCCUGUCUCUUAUACA